AUUUGAAAUUCACUCCAAUAGAUUAAUGAACACUUUUCUUGCAUGCAACUUCAUGUUUUUAAGAUCUUCCACAGGGAAGGGGUAUGAUGGAAGCUGCCAUGUAGAAUUGUACAGCUGCUGCAUGUGCUAAAAAGCAUUUCAUCUCACUCGCCGUUGAACCAUUUGGAGCCACUCUCUGGCUGCAUCUAGCCUGAAGUAUGCACAACAGCUUACUCAACAAUCCUGCUGGUCCUGCAGCUAUUCAGAUCUGGAAUGUACUGCAGUUUCCAUCUAGCCUAUACGUCUGUAUUUCCUUCCCAUGGAAACCCAAGUAUAGAGGACAUGACGGUGUUAUUCUUGUUAAAACCACCCUUGGGAACUGCGAAGUGGAUUAUAUGCAUCUUCUGUGAUCAUUUGUCUAUUAACCCCAUCUUCACUCUUCAGCUCAAUAGGCAUGACACAAAAGACAUACAUGUUGUAUACCGCACAAAAAAGAAGCAGCCCACUACUAAGAGAAGUAACAGCAAACUUCCUGCAAAUGUGUAUUAUGGAAUCCAGUUACUGUUUUACACCUCGUAAAAUCUGUGUACAGGUUUUCACAUAUAAAAAGACUCUCCUCAACCAUAGCAUUAACCCUGUCCACCUCAGAUUUCACCACUUCCAGUAAUACCAAUCACCUGUCUUGUUCCUGCACCAUGUGACAUUUAGAGUUCAACGUUCUAGUGUGUUUUCUCAACUUUCACCCCAUCUAAACCACACUUUCAAAAGGUUGUUUGCUUUUAUUAAAAAAAUGAAUAGGUACAUAUUUAUCAAUUCUGAGCUGCCAAUAUGUGUUUCCAGGAAUAAUUAAAUGACAUAAGUUUGUAUUCUAAAUCUAAUGUUUGCUCCCUUGUGAUUUCUCCAUUAGAAGAUGUUC